ensembl:lncRNA
AUCGAUGCGUUUUUGUAAGAAACAUAUCCAUAUUCAAAAUGUAAUAAUCAAUUUAAUCUAGAUUGCGCUCACUGUGGUAAACGGAAGCAGUUCCGGGAGCAUGUCCUAUGAGUUCAGCGUUGCGCAUGCCCCGGUGAGUCUCGUGAAAACCAAUGUUUGUUAACAGGAGCAAAGGAAGCAGUUUCCUUACUUUAGCAAAGGAAAACCACUUGGGUUAUAUUGAAAUCCUCUGACGUUUUUCUUUACAAAUCCUCAUUUUGUACUUCAAAUUCGUGAUCGUUGUUUUGUUUUGAUCUCUCUGCUGCGUUUCCGCAUGCGUCACUUCUGAGCAGCACAUGCACAAAGCUGACCUCAUACAUCAUUCCCCCGGAACUGCUUCUGUUUACAACACAAUGCAACACCCGCUGACUGGCAUUAAACCACUUGAAAGAUCAAAGAUUAUUUUUUAUAUAACUCCGACUGGAUUCGUCUGAGAGAAGAAAGUCAUAUACACCUAGGAUGACUUGAGGGUCCCUCGGUCAUGCUCUGUACAUAUGGUUGUCUUCUGUACAUUGUUCUGGGGAUUAUAUUAUAGGGAUCCUACAGCUCAAAACGUAUAGCUUAUGUAAAAGGUACAGCACCGUUCAUCUAUUUGGAGCUAUACAUUAAUAUAUACCAAAAACUUCCUUUAGACAAACAAACACAUUUUUCACAUUAGAUUUGAUCUAUUUCUUACAAAUGGAUAUUUUAAAAUCAUAAACACAAACAAUUUUUAAAAACUACCCAUAAGGAUGAUAUCCAGGCCAUUUUGAUUUAUUAUUGCAACAUUCGGUUUUUCUUAAAAAAUGUGUUUGCAUUUGUUGGAUUGGAUAUAUAUCCAAUAUGUUUCCAUUGUGUUACUUUAUAUAUUUAGAUUAUAAGUGCCUACAUGCAUUCAUAAACAUAAGAUAUCUCUUGGCAUCUUUUUAUGACUUUAAUUAUGGAAUAUUAUCUCUAGGAUAGACAUUUUUUUGUUAUCUGUUACCAGUCAGAAUGAAUCUUUCAGAUUCACUUACUGACUACUUUAACUGCACAUGAUGUUGCAUACUGAAAUUAUAAAUGUUUGGAGUGUAGAGACAGUGUUUGUUUCUGGUUCACUCAUACAUUUCAAACUUAUCACCAAAACCUCUGUUAAUUUUUUCCAGUUCCAAUGUGUCCAGGUGCAGUGGCUUUUUUUUUUUUUUCAAAUGUAUAAAUAAACGUUUACUGGAGUAUAUUUUACAAGACAAUACUAUUUAAGUCUUAAAAGAAUGAAUGUUUAAUUCAAUGUUUGUAAUUAUUUGUGCAAUUUAAUAGUAAUUUUUGAAUGAAAGUGUUUUAAAGUAUAUCCGACACUAUUUUUUUUUUCGCAGUGUGUGAAAAAAAAUGCAAAUGCAUU